ensembl:lncRNA
CAAAAACUCACGCGCGUGGUUUUAUUCGCGCGUCAAACGCGCCUGACGCGCUACACUGACGCGCGUUUCACGCGUUUUGGCGUUUUCGCGACGCAAAUCUGCUUCCGAAUUUUCGCGGGACCCGCAAUCGCGCGUCAUCGCGCCUUUCCAUUGACUUUACAUGUAAACCUGACGCUCUAUUCGCGUCCAUCGCGUUCGGUGUGAACACAGCGGUUGAUGAUGCUACUACUGGUAAAUAUCAAAGUCAGGAUGGGAAAAGCCUCUUUGGGCCUGUGCCAAACAAAUCACAUUUCUUUACUGCUAUCCAUGUAUAUACUGUUUUAUUAUCAAUGGGGCUUCCUUGUUGUUGUGGGGUUUUUUUUUUUGGUUUUUUUUUUAAACAUACUAUGAUUUUUCUGAAAUUAAAACUCCCCAGUAAACUCCAUGCUAGCAAGUAAAAACAAACUGCUCAACAAGACAGGUUUUCAUUUACCUCACAUGUGUCGUCCCUAUGAAAUAUGCAACCAGGCAGCCCUAAUGAAACUGUAAAACUCUGAUCAGGUAACCCCAAUAAAACUGUGUUUAUGACUUAAAUAUAAAAGUUGAUUUAUGAAGCCAGUUAGCAUGUUUGUUUUUUUUUGGUUUUUUUGUUUUGUUUUGUUUUUUUGGUGCCAUUCUUCUCUUGAACAUUGGCUGGGUUUGUAUUUAUGCUAUACUUUACAUCAACAUGUGUCUGUUUACUUCAUGUUCAGGUCAGGCCCGGAGAUCAUAUACAGACUUCUGAAACUAUUUUUCUUUUUCUUUCUUUUUUUUUUACAUCUCAACCACUGCAGCCAGUUCUCACUGUCAUAUUGUACAUACUGUAGCUGUACCAUGUAUGCCACUAAAUGGCAGGGUUAUGUUGGAUGUCACACAUUUUGCAGUGAUUUGUUUCAUAAAGUAGCCAAUAGAACAGCAAGUGUAAAGUUGGAGGUUGUUGCCAACAAAAACAACAAUGCCGCUUAUCAAACUAGGAGGCAUACAGCAAUAAAAUGAAUAUCAUGAAAAUAUGAUCCAGUGACAGUUAAUGAUGACUAAUAUUCUGAAACCACAAAAAAAGGGAAGUUGGGUUGUGAUGCGAUGGUUUGACAUGAUAAAUGAGGUCAAAGAUGUAAAUAGUAUCUUAAACAAAUGACUGUGACUAUCAUGUAAUUUGUUUUUGUAUAGUUUCUUUCAUUGCACCUCCAUGCUGAGGUUUUUACAGUGACACGCCUGCUCCCAAAAUAUUAAUAAGAUGCUACUGUACAUGGGGCUUAAGGAAUGUUUCUUCUUUUUUAUUUUUAGCCAUGUUCUAUUUGAAGCCUCUGUUUCUGCAAAAGACAAUUCAGAAUUGGGCUUGAGAUAUUUAUGUAUAUCUUUCCAUGAACAUAUUAAUAGUAUGUUCCUCUUUUAGAAAGGGUAAAUCCCAAUUUGUUUUGACACUCUGAACUGCCUGCAAGUCAUUGGGACAAUGUCAGUGGGCCCAUGACAAGUAUGAGUAAUGCCAAGGUCUGAUUGGAUUUUCUGUGCUAUAUUUAAUAAGUGUCUCAGUCUUUUUUUUUUUCUUUUUUUUUUUUUUUUUUUUUUUUUUUUUAUAAAUCUAUGCAGUUUCAGUCUGAAAUUCCUGCAACUUUAUGGCCAUUUUGUUCUAAAAACAAACUAUGAUCAUAAACAGAAGGUGUGAGCAUUUUGUAAGGACUUCUUUUGUCUUUCUUUUUUGUUCCAAUGUAACAAGAUUGAAAUAGGUAUUGUGCCACUUUAUGUUGAUCUUUAAAUGUGCAAUAAAUUAUAUUUCAAAUGUGUUUUGAUAAGGGUGUGUGCUGGUGUGUGUGCUAUCUUAGGAUUACAAAAUUGUGUGUCACACUACUUGUUAUGACUCAUUAACUUCUUCAUAAAGUUGUCAGUAUGCAGCACCAUGAGCAUGUGAUGAUCAUUGGUUCAGUGUGCUGCAGUUUCUGGAAUAUUUAGGCCAGUGGGCUUACAGUAUUAGAUUUUUUUUUUUUUUUUAUCUGAUGUAAACCCUGUAUGUUCAGAUAUAUUCAUUUGUAUUUUAUCUCUAUACUAUUUUCAACGUACAUAAACUGUAUAUAAAAGAAAGAUGUAGUAGCCACUAUAAAGAAACCUGAUUUUGAAUUCGGCUUUUUAAAGUUAAAGCGCUAGAAUCCUGGCAUCGUUCACUUCGGGGGUUUUGAGCCGGAAGUGAACCUAUUUAGGGGAGAGGUUGGAGUUCUAAGGGAUCAGCUAAAGUUAAUAUGCUGUAUUCAUUGGGUCUUUAUCUUACAAUAUAAAGUUCCAUAAUGCGACAAAUGAAAUGCUAGAAUGUCAUCGACCAAAAAUAAAGCCCAGACUUCUUGGACCUUGAACCACACAGCAAGACAUAAUAUGGCCAGAUAAUUACAUAAAAAAAUGCACCAAAGCCACAAAGAAUUUUCCAGCCUGCUCAGCAAAUACUGGUCAUUAACACUAACAGCAACUACUUUACACAGGACUACCAUCACUGUCCUUCAUGC